UACGAAGGGUGCAAACGUUGCUCAGAAUUAUUGGGCGUAAAGAGCUUGUAGGCGGUUUGUCGCGUCUGCUGUGAAAUUUCGGGGCUCAACCCCGAACUUGCAGUGGGUACGGGCAGACUAGAGUGUGGUAGGGGAGACUGGAAUUCCUGGUGUAGCGGUGAAAUGCGCAGAUAUCAGGAGGAACACCGAUGGCGAAGGCAGGUCUCUGGGCCAUAACUGACGCUGAGAAGCGAAAGCAUGGGGAGCGAACAGG
rnacentral:rRNA from 1 species